rnacentral:rRNA from 1 species
CAACCCGUUGAAUGUUCUGGGGAGGGAGAGUACACGUGGGUAACCUGCCUGUAAGACUGGGAUAACUCCGGGAACCGGAGCUAAUACCGGAUAGUUCCUUGAACCGCAUGGUUCAAGGAUGAAAGACGGUUUCGGCUGUCACUUACAGAUGGACCCGCGGCGCAUUAGCUAGUUGGUGGGGUAAUGGCUCACCAAGGCGACGAUGCGUAGCCGACCUGAGAGGGUGAUCGGCCACACUGGGACUGAGACACGGCCCAGACUCCUACGGGAGGCAGCAGUAGGGAAUCUUCCGCAAUGGACGAAAGUCUGACGGAGCAACGCCGCGUGAGUGAUGAAGGUUUUCGGAUCGUAAAGCUCUGUUGUUAGGGAAGAACAAGUGCGAGAGUAACUGCUCGCACCUUGACGGUACCUAACCAGAAAGCCACGGCUAACUACGUGCCAGCAGCCGCGGUAAUACGUAGGUGGCAAGCGUUGUCCGGAAUUAUUGGGCGUAAAGGGCUCGCAGGCGGUUUCUUAAGUCUGAUGUGAAAGCCCCCGGCUCAACCGGGGAGGGUCAUUG